AACCCAUACUUGAGUGUAUUUGAUUUUGUUACAAAACAAAUAGUUUUACCAUUGAGUUAUUAACUCACUUAUUUUGUAAAAUGGGUCUGUUUACACUGCACAUUCCUAUGUCUCACGUCUAUAUAUUUGACUAUUAAAGUCCAGGACUUAAGACUAAACAGUCGUUUUCCUAUUCCAGAGUUUCCUAGUGCUCACUGUACAAAAGUUUUCCUGGAAGGAAAGCCUGAAAUGGUUCUAGGUUGGAUAUAUUGAUUUUAUAAUUAUUUUGGUAUUCCUGGUUUACAAACUGAAUACUUAGUUAACAAUAAAUGUUUUAUACAGGGUGUCCCGAAAAACAUAGGAAAUUUAGCGCGAACUUGAAAAUUGACUUUAAUUUCGGAUUGUUAAUAUAGAUAAGAAAGGAAGUAAAAACAUUGCUCGCUGUAAGGUUUUAAAAAUGCGGUAUUCUUCUCUCUAUCUUUUAAUUGAAGGAGAUAUCUAUAAAGUUAAAAGUUUUCUUUCAGUGUAUAGGGUUACAAAGCAUGAGACCUCAGAGACGACUGUACGGAAUUUAUCUGUUUUCUUAUAUUCAGGAUUCCCUGCAAAUAUAAAUUUGUUUCUUACGUUGCCGAAUCAUCAACAGACAAUAUAGAAGAAUACAUAAUUCAACCUGGGAAACAGUUUCAGGUUGGAUUGGUUGGACUUGAACUGGUUGAAAUUAAUUGCUCUGUAGAGGAAGCUGAAUCCCUCUCUCCAGUUUUCACUUUCUUAGAGAUGGUUGGAAGGUCAAAUAGGCCUACAGAAGGUAUCAGUGAGUUGGCGAGGUAAAACAAAAGCCCAAGGCUUUGCGACACUUUAAAGUCGUGGCUGUUUACAAAUUUGAAUAUUCAGUGUUGUCUUUAUCUCAGUGACCUUUGAUAU